UUUGAUCUAAGGUCUAGAUAUGGUUCUGAAUCCAGAUCCCAUAAUCUUGUUGUAAACUUUGCUACCCAUCUACUAUGAAAAAAAUAUUAGUUAUUGCUUCCCACUAUCUUGUAUUAAACAUUGCCACCCAUCUACUAUGCAACACCUAACGACAAACGAGAUAUGAUCCAACAUCAACCUUUAUACCACAACCACAACAUCCACACCGGCGUAUCCACAGGUAUUAAAAAUGGUUUCACCAUCUCCUUCAGACAUUACUGCUUUUCAUCCUGACCACAACCUCUCUAAUCACAACACAACUUCUGUUCAUCAACAACAACACCCGUGUAGCCACCAAUUCAAAUUUUAAGUUCGCCUUGUCCAGGAACACAACAAUAAACAUUACUAUCAGCUUCCCACACAUAUCAACCCCUACCAACAAAUUACCUUCACACAUCAGAGUUGUUCACCAUGACCACUAUCUCUCUAACCACAACAAGCCUUUGUUACCACACAACCCCGCACAGCUCAUAAUCUAUUUUCAGAUUUCUAGCUAUGAUAACCAAAGUAAAUAGGAAUAAUACCCACCUGAUUCACAAACCUAACAUCCAAUUCCCUAUGACCUUCACAAACAUAAAUGUGGAUGCUAUUUUAAAUACACAAACCAACCACAAACAUAUCAUCCACAACCAAUAAAAAAUCAACCCUUAAACCACAACCACAACAUCCACACUGGCGUAUCCACAAGUAUAAAACUGUUGCUCAACCUGGCCACAACCUCUCUAACCACAAUACAACUUCGGGGUAUCAACAACAACACCCGUGUAGCUACAAAUACAAAUCUUUAGUUCACCUUCUCCACGAAAACAACAAAAAACAAUACUCUCAUCUUCCCACAUAUAUCAACAGCUACCAACAAAUUACCUUCACACAUCAGUGGUGUCCACCAUGACCACUACCUCACUAACCACAACAAGCCUUUGUUACCACACAACCCCUCAUAGCUCAUAAUGUAAUCCAGAUUUCUAGCUAUAAAAAACAAAGUCAAUAGGAAUAAUACCCACCUUAUUCACAUACCUAACAUCCAAUUUUCUAUGACCUCCACAAUCCUAUAUGUGGUUGCUAUUUUAAUUAAACAAACCAACCACAAACAGAUCAUCCACAACCAAUACAACAUCAAGUUACAUCAACAAGGUCCAACUAACUUCUCACUGGCAGCACUAAGCUAAGUAAAACACUAUGAGAUUAAGAACCAUCCAAACCACAAAGCCGCACCCACAACUUCAUUCAUAAUACAGUCACUUCAAACACCCCCAUUCCACUCAAAGGUCUUAUGUUAAACAACGCUCCCAACCACAGCCACACAUCCACCAGAUCAUCCAUACAAUGUACAAACAAUUCAGAAGACGGUUCAGCCCACUGAGCCAGAACACAAUACCAUAUGCAACAUACUAACCAAACCAACAUGGAUACCACAAACAUCAGACUUACUUUUCAAAAACAAAAAACUCUUUAACCACGCAUAACCAAACCACAACUUAAAAUCCAUAUUGCUAAUUCAUAAAUCAUAACCUCAGUGUUCUUGCUCACACCAUCGGUGACAUUAACAUCUCUAUUACAAAAAUACCAAAACAAUUACUCCUUGCGGUCACACAGAUUCAGUACAAAAAAAUAUUAUCUCUACACCUCAUUACAAUACCCGUUCACAAAAAGUCUUAAAUUAUAGUGAACUCCAUCUCCAUUCAAAUCGGAGCAGUGCAAUCCUGUUGUGUCCUUCUGAGCCAUUAGAUCUUCUUUUAAAAAUGAUCCAAUGGCCAGAAAAAAGACCCUAAAACCCAUACAACUACUUUUACUUUUGCAUUUUUUUCAUUUAUUCCAACCAAAGAGUUAUCUGGUUUGGUUCCUUAGAUGGAACAUCAUCUUCCCAAAUU
rnacentral:lncRNA from 1 species